UACGGAGGGUGCGAGCGUUGUCCGGAAUCACUGGGCGUAAAGGGCGCGUAGGCGGUGGGAUAAGCGCAUGGUGAAAGCCCGGGGCUCAACCCCGGGUCGGCCGUGCGAACUGUCCGACUCGAGCACUGUAGAGGCAGGUGGAAUUCCGGGUGUAGCGGUGGAAUGCGUAGAGAUCCGGAAGAACACCGGUGGCGAAGGCGGCCUGCUGGGACGGUACUGACGCUGAGGAGCGAAAGCGUGGGGAGCGAACAGG
rnacentral:rRNA from 1 species